UACGAAGGGGGCGAGCGUUGUUCGGAAUUACUGGGCGUAAAGGGCGCGCAGGCGGCCGCUCAAGUCAGGCGUGAAAGCCCCGGGCUCAACCUGGGAAUGGCGCAUGGGACUGGGUGGCUAGAGUUCGGGAGAGGAGCGUGGAAUUCCCAGUGUAGAGGUGAAAUUCGUAGAUAUUGGGAAGAACACCGGUGGCGAAGGCGGCGCUCUGGACCGAGACUGACGCUGAGGCGCGAAAGCGUGGGGAGCAAACAGG
rnacentral:rRNA from 1 species